UGGCCAGGUGUCAGAAGCUACUGCAGGUCCCAUGCAGAGUCAGCAGUUUUUCUCUAAGGAAAUCCCUUUGUUCUCUUAUCACCUAAACCCAGGCCUCAAUGUUAACCUUUCAAAUCCCUUAGUGGCACAAAUUACUGGACCAUUCCUUACAGUUCCUUUGUUUUUUUUUUUUUUAAGCAUCAA